rnacentral:rRNA from 1 species
GACGAAGGGGGCUAGCGUUGUUCGGAAUUACUGGGCGUAAAGCGAGUGUAGGUGGUUGUCCAAGUUGGAUGUGAAAGCCUUGAGCUCAACUCAAGAAAUGCAUUCAGGACUGGGCGGCUAGAGGACCGGAGAGGAUAGUGGAAUUCCCAGUGUAGUGGUGAAAUGCGUAGAGAUGUGGAGGAACACCGAUGGCGAAGGCAGCCUUCUGGGCCAACACUGACGCUCAUGCACGAAAGCGUGGGGAGCAAACAGG